rnacentral:lncRNA from 1 species
UUGCUUACGUACUCUUAUCUUUAUGUUUAUUUAUGGAUAUUCAUAUGUUCAUUGUCUAGUUUUUACUACUCAUCUAUAGUGCAUGUAGGUAUCAACUUGUUGUAUGUUAUUGAUCGGAGAUCUUGCAUGUUCUUGUCUUAUAUUAGUAUAACAUAGAUUGGUCGCCAAAUUGCUUGCUGGACACAACGGAAACUAACAAUCUACAGCUAAUUAGUAAUGAUUUAGGUUACUGUGUGUGUGUGUUUGCUUUUCUAGCAAGGAAUUGAGAGAGCUGGCAGCAGUGGAUGUUGAGCUAGUGAAGACUCCAGAAAAAUAGGAUCAGAGUCCUUACAAAUGAAUAGCGGAGAUAUGGACAAGGACUAUGAAAGGGAUAGUUAGUGAAGCUUUUUCAUCUCGUCCCAUGGCAAACAUUAACUUAGAAAUUAAUCAAUUGCAUUGCCACUUAAGAUGUUUUCACCAGACUCAACUAUCAACGAUGUACCUUGUGUUAAUUAGCCUUCUUCCGUAAAACAUUUGAAGGAUGGACGUUCUAACUAAUACAAGGAAAUUAGGCAUGAGUUUUUACUAUAGGUUUUGCCCAUGCUAAAGUUUGUGUUUUGUAAGUGCGUCAAUUGCGGAUAUAAUUUUAAAAAUCUAAGAAUUUGUGGUUAUAAAGAAAAGAUGUAACAAGACAG